UUGCAUAAGAGCCUGAGUCAGACAUUAGUGGGACAAGAUUUAUAUACAACGAUAAAACAAGUAACUCAACAAUAUAGCAUUUGUUUACACAACAACCCCAAUACUAAGAAUAAAAUAAAAUUUGGAAUAAUUGGUAAAGGAAAUUAUCUGGGACAACAGUGGCAAAUUGAUUUUUCAGAACUCCCUAGAAAAGGGGGGUAUCGUUAUUUAUUGGUUCUGACUGACACGUUUUCAGGAUGGCCCGAAGCCUUUCCCUGUCGAACAAACAAAGCAAGAGAAGUGGUUAAAGUCUUGUUAAAUGAAAUAAUAAUUCCAGUAGCAAUGUCCUCUGAUAGAGGUUCACAUUUUUAUGUGCAAGUGGUACAACAGAUAAGUAAGAUUCUAAAGAUAGAUUGGCAACUACAUACUCCUUAUAGACCGCAGGCAAGUGGACAAGUAGAAAAAAUGAACCAUUUAAUUAAACAACAAAUAGCUAAAAUCGGACAAGAAGCUAAUUUGUCAUAGCCUCAAUCCCUUCCUUUAGCAUUACUUAGAAUUAGAGUUAAACCUAGAGUAAAGGAGAAUUUGAGUCCCUUUGAAAUCUUAUAUGGGAAGCCGUAUCAAUUUCUAUUUAGUGGAGAGGAUCUAACGCAGUUAGGAUCAGAAUAUUUAUAUGCUUAUAUAACUGAACUUCAGAAACAAUUAAAUAAAGUACAUAAAUUGAUUUUAGGGACCAGGGCUAGAGGGCUGGAUCAACCAAUCCACCCCUUUAAGCUCGGGGAUUAUGUAUAUAUAAAGACUUUUUCAGGACAACCCCUAGAAGAAAGAUGGACCGGACCAUAUCAGGUGUUUCUGAACACAGACCGCC